AGAAGAAGAAGAAGAAGAAGAAAGCGGUGAUUCUAAGGCAUGGCAAAUGUUCCACAUCCGCCACUCUUCUGGCAAAUUCUUCAAGGAGAGAAGGUACUUAUUGAAGGAGUUUCCGGAGUUGGUUUCUUGUGGAGACUUCUCUAAGGUCUUGGAGGUUGGCUGUGGUAGUGGAAGUUCUGUAGUUCCAAUUCUGCGUGGCAACAAAAGUAUCAUCGUUUAUGCUUGUGAUUGUAGCACUGAGACGCUUGAGAAGGCCAAACAGAUUGUGGAUGCCACUGAUAUAGUCUCUGUCCAAAACCGUUUUAAGCCUUUCUAUUGUGAUUUUGCUUUCACUGGGUUUCCCAAGUGGUUUCUUUGUGAUUCUUGCCCGCUAAUUCCUCCACCAAAACAACAGGAAUGCUUCUCCUCAGAUGAUUCAUAUUGCUUCAAAGAAGGUGGCUGUUGCGUUGGCGGGGUUGAUUUUGUUACCUUGGUAUGCUUUAUACUUUGGCUAUUGUCAAUUACUAUGCAUCAGAGCCAUUUGGCAUUGGGAUAUACCUGGAAAACAUAUCAAAUAAAUUACUAAAUGAUAUCUUUCAUAAAUUUCUGUACACUAAAUAUCACUUAAAUCAAAUGUAGAAGCCGUGUGAUCCAUGACUGAAUAUAAGAACUUUGGAACAUGGUAUGGGUGCAGCAGCCUCCUUGGAUGGUUUGGAUGCUGUGUUUGAUUCAAUGGUGACUUUUAAUGUUGGGGUUGUGGACCUAUGAUGUUCAACUCAUUCCUCUUAACAUGAUGGGGAGAGACACGUUCUCAAUAGAGUAACUGACUGAGAACACAAAAUCCGCAGACUGCCAAGGAGUUCAUUAAUUCUAAUUUCUCACUGAGCAGUAAACGUGGAGUUUAUGACAUACAUAUCUUGAUAGCAAGAUAAGAUUCAAUAAUGUCCCUGUGGCAUGUGCUUCCAUGACUCUAUGUUCCACUCCUUGUUGUGGUUUUAGUAACUAUGUAGAUGAAGCUACAGUUUCUAUGCAGUUGUGGACUUUGCUUUUAGAAGUUAACAGGUUGCACAUUUUCAAUUCUAUUUUUAUCUGUACACAAAUUUUUUCAGUUCUGGAUUCUCUGCGUUUCUCUGUGAUGUUGCCUAACUCUUCUUGCACAUAGUCUUUUGCUUCAGUGGACUAUAUUAUCAAUACCAAAUAAAUAAGGAAAUGACUCUGGAGUCGUUCCAAGAUUUUUUAUAAGAUGUAAAAAUAUAUUGAUAUUUGAAUAUUGAAUUACUCCUUUGAUUCUUCCCUUGCAUUUUUAUACCAGAUAUUCACACUAUCAGCAGUGCCACUCAAAAGAAUGCCAAUAGCCAUCUUGGAGUGUUUUUCUGUAUUGAAGCCUGGUGGCAUGCUCUUAUUUAGGGACUAUGUUUGAUUGAACUUAGGGCUUUAUGAUAUGACCAUGUUGCGAUUUGAGGCAGACAAAAGAGUGGGGUUCCGAGAGUACAUGCGAUCAGAUGGCACUCGAUCUUACUUUUUCUGUUUAGAUACUGUCAGGAAUCUUUUUGUGGGAGCAGGCUUCAUUGAGCUUGAGCUCGAGUAUUGUUGUGUCAAGUCUGUGAAUCGCAGAAAAGAGAAGAGCAUGCGAAGGGUUUGGGUCCAUGGGAAGUUCCAGAAACCCACAAGUAGAACACAAGAUUUCUCUUGUUGAGGUACAAUUUAAGAUGAUGCCUAUAGUUUUGGACAACAAAUUUUUAUCUUAUCAUCAUAUAAUCUUGUAACGCUAUCCAGUGAAUUUUGAAUUGUGGAAAGAGUUAGGUGAAAUUAAUUGUUGAAGAAAGCAUCUUUAUCUUGCUUUAUAGGAUCUUUCUGCAGUUUGGUUGUAGCGAGAUUGCUGCAAUGAAUGUGAAUUGAGAUUGAGGAAAAGGUGAUUUUUCAUCCUGGACAGGUGAGUUGAUGAUUUAAAAAAGAAAAAAAAAUUGUAACCUAAUUUUGGUUCCAGUUAAGUAGGAUCCUGAGAAGCUAUAAAUUACUGUAACGUCACCCAUGAAAUGCAAUGAGAUUGCUGAGGAAGCCAUUGUACCCAUGGAAGCGGUGCUCAUGCCAAUUCCAGCAAAUGACAAUAUCAUCUAUUAAAGUUGAAAUGCUAAUUCUAUUUUUUCAA
rnacentral:misc_RNA from 1 species